GUGCCAGCAGCCGCGGUAAUACAGAGGGUGCAAACGUUGUUCGGAAUUACUGGGCGUAAAGCGCGUGUAGGCGGCCUCGUGUGUCGGAUGUGAAAUCCCAUGGCUCAACCGUGGAAGGGCAUUCGAAACUACGAGGCUGGAGUGCUGGAGAGGAAGGUGGAAUGCUCGGUGUAGAGGUGAAAUUCGUAGAUAUCGAGCGGAACACCGGUGGCGAAGGCGGCCUUCUGGACAGCAACUGACGCUGAGACGCGAAAGCGUGGGGAGCAAACAGGAUUAGAAACCCUUGUAGUCC
rnacentral:rRNA from 1 species